rnacentral:tRNA from 1 species
GCCAGUAUGGUGUAGUGGUUUGAGUGCUGGACUAUGACUCUGGAAACCAGGGUUUGAUUCCUUGCUCAGUCA